AGGCGCGUAAAUUACCCACUCCCAGCACGGGGAGGUGGUGACGAAAAAUACCGAUGCGGGACUCGUCAUGAGGCUCCGUAAUCGGAAUGAGUGAGAUUUAAAUCCUUUCACGAGGAUCAAUUGGAGGGCAAGUCUGGUGCCAGCAGCCGCGGUAACUCCAGCUCCAAUAGCGUAUAUUAAAGUUGUUGCAGUUAAAAAGCUCGUAGUUGGAUCUCGGUAGCAUUGUAGCCUGCCAUCGCUUGGCUUGUGGAGCUUGGUUAAGUGCUUUGCGCUAGCCUUGUUUUGCUUGUUGAGUUGGCUUGGUCGCGAUGUCGCCUUUUAGCCAUGUCUGUGGUGAAAUACCCAUAGGUGUAGGCGGGCGUCAGGCGGUGCUCUGCAACAGUAGGGUCCGUCGGCUCGUUUGCAUGCCUGUGGAUGCCCUUUAAAAGGUGUCCGUGGGCGGAUGGCACGUUUACUUUGAACAAAUUUGAGUGCUCAAAUCAGGCCGAUGUUGCCUGAAAAGUUUUGCAUGGAAUAAUAGAAUAGGACUUCGGUUCUAUUUUGUUGGUUUUCGGAUCCGAAGUAAUGAUCAAAAGAGACAGGCGGGGACGUUUGUAUGGCUGCGCUAGAGGUGAAAUUCAUGGACCGUAGCCAGACAAACUAAAGCGAAAGCAUUCGUCAAGCAUGUUUUCAUUGACCAUGAGCGAAAGUCAGAGGCUCGAAGACGAUCAGAUACCGUCCUAGUUCUGACCAUAAACUAUGCCAACUGACGAUCCGUGAUGGUAGUAUUAUAACCUUCCACACGGGCAGUCCCCGGAAAACCUUUAAGUCUUUGGGUUCCGGGGGAAGUAUGGUUGCAAAGCUGAAACUUAAAGGAAUUGACGGAAGGGCACCACCAGGAGUGGAGCCUGCGGCUUAAUUUGACUCAACACGGGAAAACUCACCCGGGCCGGACACUAUGAGGAUUGACAGAUUGACAGCUCUUUCAUGAUUUGGUGGUUGGUGGUGCAUGGCCGUUCUUAGUUGGUGGAGCGAUUUGUCUGGUUAAUUCCGAUAACGAACGAGACUCUAGCCUGCUAAUUAGUGUGCUCGUCCACUGUUCCUGUGUAGGUGGCGUUUCUACGAUUCUGCUCUAUCAAAGUGGCUUGCUGGAAGCUCAUAUGGUUCUGCUGUAUGUGUGGAAAGCUUGUUGCUGGAGUGGAUGGUUAGGCGUUGCUUCCGGGUACGGCGCGGGUACCUUACUUCUUAGAGGGACAAACGGCAGAAUCCGCACGAAAUUGAGCAAUAACAGGUCUGUGAUGCCCUUAGAUGUCCGGGGCCGCACGCGCGCUACAAUGACGAUGGCAACGAGUCUGACCUUCUGGCCCGAAAGGGUUGGACAAACUGGUCAAUCAUCGUCAUGACAGGGAUUGGGGCUUGUAAUUGUUCCCCAUGAACGAGGAAUUCCUAGUAAGUGCAAGUCAUAAGCUUGCGCUGAUUACGUCCCUGCCCUUUGUACACACCGCCCGUCGCUACUACCGAUUGAAUGGUUUAGUAAGGUCAUUGG
rnacentral:rRNA from 1 species